rnacentral:rRNA from 1 species
GACGAACGCUGGCGGCGUGCUUAACACAUGCAAGUCGAACGAAGUGGCGGACGGGUGAGUAACGCGUAAUCAACCUGCCCUUCAGAGGGGUAUACCAGUUGGAAACGACUGCUAAUACCUCAUACUGAAGGAGGGGAUUGCGUCUGAUUAGCUAGUUGGAGGGGUAACGGCCCACCAGGGCGAUGAUCAGUAGGCGGGCUGAGAGGAUGAACGGCAACAUUGGGACUGAGACACGGCCCAGACUCCUACGGGAGGCAGCAGUGGGGAAUCUUCCGCAAUGGACGAAAGGCUGACGGAGCAACGCCGCGGGGGUGAUGACGGCCUUCGGGUUGGAAAGCUCUGUUAAUCGGGACGCGGUACCGGAAUAGAAAGCCACGGCUAACUACGUGCCAGCAGCCGCGGUAAUAC